rnacentral:rRNA from 1 species
AACGAACGCUGGCGGCAGGCUUAACACAUGCAAGUCGAGCGCAUCCUUCGGGGUGAGCGGCCGACGGGUGAGUAACGCGUGGGAAUCUACCUUUUGCUACGGAAUAGCUCCGGGAAACUGGAAUUAAUACCGUAUGUGCCCUUAGGGGGAAAGAUUUAUCGGCAAGAGAUGAGCCCGCGUUGGAUUAGCUAGUUGGUGGGGUAAAGGCCUACCAAGGCGACGAUCCAUAGCUGGUCUGAGAGGAUGAUCAGCCACAUUGGGACUGAGACACGGUCCAAACUCCUACGGGAGGCAGCAGUGGGGAAUAUUGGACAAUGGGCGCAAGCCUGAUCCAGCCAUGCCGCGUGAGUGAUGAAGGCCUUAGGGUUGUAAAGCUCUUUCACCGGAGAAGAUAAUGACGGUAUCCGGAGAAGAAGCCCCGGCUAACUUCGUG